AGAGAACGUACAAAGUGCAUGGAGAUAGCACCUCAGGAACUGAACCUAGGGCCCCAGCGCUGUGAGGCAGCAACACUAACCAAACUCACUGUGAAUCAGGGUUAUUCCACCUACUGUAUGGAAAAAUAAUUAACAGUGCAGGAAAUAAUCUGCCUCCCAAGACUUUUGUUCUUAAACAGAAAGCUGUAAGAAUAGAGUUUUGCCAAUAUUGUGAAAUUGCAUUUAAUCGUUUUAGAAAUGUUAUGUUCUUAAGUUUUGUAAAUCAACAUUUUAAAGCCUCUUUCCCCCCAAAAUGAUACAGACAUUUCCUAAACAAUCCCUAGCGUGGCUUCUGCUUUACACAAAAAACACCAGAACAGGUGUGUUGUUUGGUAUGACGUUCUUUAACUGGGUGUGAAAUUCCUACACUAAUACAGCAACUACAAGAACUUUGGGGAGGGUCAUGUAUUUUAAUGAUUAUUUACAUGAAUAUGAAAGGACACACCUCUUUGUGUACAGCAUAAUAUAACCAGUUAUUACAGAUAAGAGUAGGUAAAGCUACUGACUGAUACUCACACCAGACAAAACACUUGUGCGCAGAGUAGAGGAACUAUGGACGAUGAAAGAACGAAGAAAGAAGAAAUAAGGCAGUCCUGGGAUCACUUCAGAGAGGUGCCCGACAUUCAGGAUGAACAGAAACCCAGGAAGCUGUUCAGGUUCAUCCACUAUGUUAUCUGCACUCUAAUUGGACUGACAGUCUUUGCUCUUGGCUUUUUCAGCAAGUCCUCCCUGCUCCUCCUAAUAACAGUGUCCAGCAGUUCUUCUACCACCAUCUCAACAAGAGCCUUCGGACUCCUGCUCUUAGGCUGCACUCUGAUCGUUCCCAGCAUCCUCACGUUGGCCAAGAGCCUUUGGAAAAUUGCCUUUAAAGACUCAAAGACACCCUCAGCAAAGACCAUCUUCUGGGUAAGACAAUAAUCACCACAACAAAUGCUACUGUCUGUUCUACUAAUUGUAUAUCUGGAUUAUUCUUAUACUGCAUGAAUUGGGAAACUGUAAAGCAUGCAAUAGAGCAGGUUAUUGAUCCAGCUUCUG
rnacentral:lncRNA from 1 species